UACAGAGGGUGCGAGCGUUAAUCGGAAUUACUGGGCGUAAAGCGCACGUAGGUGGCGACGUAAGUCGGGUGUGAAAGCCCCGGGCUCAACCUGGGAAUUGCAUUCGAGACUGCAUUGCUGGAGUACGGAAGAGGAAGGCGGAAUUCCUGGUGUAGCGGUGAAAUGCGCAGAUAUCAGGAGGAACACCGGUGGCGAAGGCGGUUCUCUGGGCAUUACCUGACGCUGAGGAGCGAAAGUGUGGGGAGCGAACAGG
rnacentral:rRNA from 1 species